UCUCUUGAUCCAGCGUACAGCGAAGGGGUUUGGGAUGGACGGGCGACUCGUCCUCAUCUGCGGCUUCCACCUUCCAUCGAUUAAUAGCACGCCUGUGUCCGAACCACGAAGCAACCUCCUCCUCGACCUCUGAUUUCUCCCUCCCCCCUCUCUCUCUCCUGUCUCGAUCGAUCGAUCGAUCGAUCUCGGGCGAGGAGGCAUGGAGGCGUCGUCAUGGGACGCCCUCCGGAAACAGGCAAGGAAACUUGAAGCUCAGCUGGAUGAGCUGAUGAAUUCAUAUCGUAGAUUGGUUUCCACAAAACCUGAUGGUUCAGAGAGUGAUCUUGAAUCUGGAAUAGAGCGAUUUCUGAAACAACUUCAGCAAGUUAAUUCACAGAUGCAAACUUGGGUAUCUUCAGGAGGCUCAGAAAUCCUUUCACAUACAUUAACUCGGCAUAGAGAAAUUCUUCAAGAUCUUACUCAGGAGUUUUAUCGGCUCCGCUCUAGCCUUAGAGCUAAGCAGGAACAUGCAUCACUCCUUCUGGACUUCAGGGAUUUCGAGAGGGCAAGAUUGGACAUGGAAGAUGGUGCUGGUUCUGUUGAUCAGGCUCUUCUUAAAGAACAAGCAGCUCUAAGUAGAAGUUCAGGACAGGUUCUUUUUGCCAGGGUGGACAGCGAUGGAUGGUGUAAUAUCCCAAGCCCAAGCUACUUUGGGAGCACUUGUUCUUCAACGCUCAACAUUUGGUGGCAUCAGCAGCAAGAUAAGCAAUGUCGGCAGCCGACUUCCCACGGUAAAUCAUAUCCUUUCAGCAAUUAGAAGGAAAAAAUCAAUGGAUACCAUCAUUCUUUCGCUUGUUGCUUCCGUCUGGAUCAAGAGUGAUCAACCUGUUGCCUGCUUGGCACCCUGCACCUCCCACUCUGUCAAGAGCAACAAGGUUACUCGGAGGAAAUGGCGUCAGAUCAGAUGGUUUGUCUUCUCUUGCUGAAAGAAAAAAUUGUUUCCACCCAUUAAGAAUAGUAGCAAGUCAAUGGGAAAUGAGUGGUGCCUCAGGUUAUGAAACUACGGAGCUAUGAGAGCUGAGAAGUCGUCCAAUCUCUGUCCAAAUGAGACAUGACUGAAGUAGCUCUGCAUAAUGAUGAGUUUAUGAUCUGUUGAAUUUAAUAACUUGAUA